rnacentral:tRNA from 1 species
UGAAAAAUAGUGUAAAAAGCACAUGAAAUUUUGAUUUUCAAAGUUUAAGUUAACUCUUAGUUUGUCAA